rnacentral:rRNA from 1 species
UGGACUUGGACCCUGCCGUGUCACAAUGGCUGGUCUGAAAUGCAUGAGUGCACCCUGCCAUAGCAGCGUCUUCAGUGUGAUAAGUAUCUUCACUGACCCAAGCUUCCUCUGUGGAACACGCUUGUCUGGUGGGCUCUGGGCUUCCAACCGUCCCCAUGGACAACUCUUGACAAUUUGACCUCAAAUCGGGUGGGAUUACCCGCUGAACUUAAGCAUAUCAAUAAGCGGAGGAAAAGAAACUAACAAGGAUUCCCCUAGUAACGGCGAGUGAAGAGGGAAAAGCUCAAAUUUUGAAUCUGGUACCUUUGGUGCCCGAGUUGUAAUCUAGAGAAGUGUUUUCUGCCUUGGACCACGCAUAAAUUCCCUGGAAUGGGGUGUCAUAGAGGGUGAGAAUCCCGUUUGUGGUGUGGACUACCUUGGCUUUGUGAUACACUCUCAACGAGUCGAGUUGUUUGGGAAUGCAGCUCAAAAUGGGUGGUAAAUUCCAUCUAAAGCUAAAUAUUGGCGAGAGACCGAUAGCGAACAAGUACCGUGAGGGAAAGAUGAAAAGCACUUUGGAAAGAGAGUGAAACAGUACGUGAAAUUGUUGAAAGGGAAGCGCUUGAGGUCAGUCACAUCUGUCAGGACUCAGCCAGGCUUCUGCCUGGUGUACUUCCUGGCCGGUGGGUCAGCGUCAGUUUUGACCGAGGGAGAAAGGCUUGGGGAAUGUGGCUGUCUUCGGGCAGUGUUAUAGCCCCUUGUUGUAUGUCUCGGUUGGGACUGAGGAUCGCAGCACGCCUUAUGGCCGGGGUUCGCGCCCUCGGUACGUGCUUAGGAUGCUGGCAUAAUGGCCUUAAGCGGCCCGUCUGA